CAGUCUAGUGAUUGGGAGCUCAAUUCUUCAUUUUUUAAAUAAAAACAUGAGGAUAAAAGUAUUUUCCUUUUCACAAGUGAAUUAUUGCAGAAUUAAAAACCGACACCAAUUUUGCAGAAAAUUUCCAUUGUUCAGCAUCCAUUGUUUAGAUGUGGUGCAGUUGAUUUGUUUCAAGGAUGCCACGGUUGUGCAGCGGUAGAGUUGCUGCUUUACAGCAAACGCAGCAACAGAGACCUGGGUUCGAUCCAGACUACGGUGCUGUCUGUACGGAGUUUGUACCUUCUCCCCGUGACCCAUGUGGGUUUUCUCCGAGAUCGUCGGUUUCCUCCCACACUCCAAAGACGUACAGAUGCUACCUGACCCGCUGAGUCACUCCAGCACUUUGUGUUAUCGGUAUGAUGACUUCCCCACCAGUGAAUACAAUACAGUGGAAACAACUCUCCUUCUUCUGGAUGAACAACUCAGCUUCCCCGGCCCUUGGCGGAAGAAAACUCCAAAGUUUCACCACUCCUUGAAUGAAAACAUUUCCACGUCCCAGUUUAACACUUCCUACCCCUUAUUUCAGAUAGUGACCUUGGUUCUGGUCUUCUGAUCUCCUAUCCAAGGGAUUAACCUCAUGAACCUACGCUGCAGUCCCUCAAUAGCAAGAAUGUCCUUCCUCAAAUUAGGAGACCAAAACUGCACAUAAUACUCCAGAUGUGGUCUCACCAGGGCCCUGUACAACAGCAGAAGACCUCUUUACUCAAGUACUCAAAUCUUUCUAAGGAAGUAGAGGCCAAUUGAGAUUUGAUGUGGUGGCAAGAGGGGAGGGGAUAUCCAAAAUUUUAUUGAAAUUCACUUUAACUUAAUUUUGGGACAAUAUCAGAAUGCUAUAACAAUAAAAGCACGUACGCAUUGCACAAAAUAUAUGUGUCACUUUUCAUGGGAUUAUCCAUUACUUACCUAACGAAGCAAUUAACGAACGGGCAUCUUAUCAACCAAAUGUGAUUUUAGCAAUGUGAAGACAAACAAGGAUAAGGAGUUAUAAAUCAACUUUAUCCACCAUUCUGAUCCACUGAAAGACAUUUUAUCUUAUUGACUCAGUCAUUUGUCAUUGAUGCUGUUUGCCUUAUUUAAUAAGGAGAGAUUUAUAAAUUUGCCGGAGACUGGGCCAAGGCUUUUCACGUGUAAUAGCUAUAAAUGGAUUUUCUGUCCUCGUUAUACAA